ACUGCUUUUUCCUUGCAGUGCAGGAGGUAUUUACACGGUAUUUUCUAGUGGGACUGACCAGGGAUACCCAGAAAAAUUCAGCUACUGACGGAUGAACACCGGCAGCAGGUGUCAGGACGCCCAGACUUGCUCCCCAGCACUCCAACAUGUCAUCAUCACCUCAGGCAGCCUCUGCUCUACCUGCACCUACCUGCACCGCGCCUUUCUUGGACUCUGAGCUUCAGGAAAAGUUUUUUCUUGCUGAUGUUAACGAGAGAAAACUGUGUGUGGUACCAAUUACAUCUGGAGAAGCAGGAAAACUCUGUUCACUGAUUCAGCUGUGUAAAGACGAUUAUUAUAGAACUACAAAUGCCAUCCAAAGCAGAAAAUACUUUACUGAUCUAAGCAAAGAGUCUGACCGUCUUGAACGCCAACUUGCAGAGCCUACACAGAAGGAAAUUUGGAAGCAGAGUUGGGCUCCAUGUCCUGAUAAAUAUCGGCUCAAGAUUACAGAACUGUCACCACUGCUUAAAAAAAGGUCACCAAAAAAUCACCUACAACAGAGCUUGAAUGAAAGUGCAUCAAGAAGGUGUGCUUCAGGCAAAGAUAAAUGGUGAAAUGUUAAGAUAUAAGGAAUGUGUUUAUAAGCUACUUAAGCAUUUGAAGUUUAUGAGUAUAUUAGGUUUGUAAGUAUUGACCUGUGAAGGCCUAGACAGAGAGCUGGCAUAGAUUGGUGUUAGGAUAUUCUUUUUUUGCGUAGGUGUGAUGGUGUUACCCUGAUGGGCAGCUAAACUCCACUAUAGCUGCUCUCUCACUCCCCCUCCUUGAAGGAGAAGGGGCAGAAAAUAAAAUGGAAAGGGCUCAAGGGUUGAGAGAAGGA
rnacentral:lncRNA from 1 species